UUCGGGCGGUCAUGUGACCGGACCGCUGCGCAGGAAACCCAAAUGGAGGGAUGGGCUGAGGGGUCUGGCUUCGUGGCGGCCCCACCUGCCCGGUGUCGUCUAGGUUUGCCGGUGCUGCCGUGGAGCCGAAGUUGGCUGUGUUUCGGUUUCUAGCACUGGCAACCUGAAGGUGUGCCCAGGAGGCGCAGCAGGUAACAGCUCCUCUGUUGCUAGUCUGAGGGCCACCGCAUCCUUUCUGAUUCUCUUCAUCCUAUCCAGGCCGACACAAGAAGAAAUCACAUUUCCAACCAUAUCUGAAACGUCUUUCUCAGCUGGCACCCGUACUGAAAGACUCCUGCAAGAAACUCUAGAAAUGUUCCAGGGUGGUUUGAGGGAAGAUACUCUGUUUUCACGGAAGGCAGCUUACAGCCCCCGGGGGACAAUUUACUGUUGGCACGGGGAGCACUUAUUUCAACUUAACUAGGAUAAUUUGCCUCUUGUUAUAAGGAGAUGGCAUCUCCCUGCGUUUUGGAUUUAUUAACGAUAACAACCCUUGAAAUAAAAGCCCAUAUUUCAGGUCUCAAA